rnacentral:rRNA from 1 species
UACGUAGGGGGCAAGCGUUGUCCGGACUUAUUGGGCGUAAAGAGCGUGUAGGCGGCCAGACAGGUCCGUUGUGAAAACUCGAGGCUCAACCUCGAGACGCCGAUGGAAACCGUCUGGCUAGAGUCCGGAAGAGGAGAGUGGAAUUCCUGGUGUAGCGGUGAAAUGCGCAGAUAUCAGGAGGAACACCAAUGGCGAAGGCAGCACUCUGGGACGGUACUGACGCUGAGACGCGAAAGCGUGGGGAGCAAACAGG